rnacentral:lncRNA from 1 species
GCAAAUCCCAGGACAACUGAGAAAAUGGAGAGUCCCGUUCGGAGGACUUAAAAACACCGAACGCCUUGCCAAGAGAUAAACUUGGUAGUUAUUCUUUUCCUUUCAAUUAUUUAAAAUAGUUUGCUUAGUUAAUCAGGUUCAUAUCAUCUAGAAAAGAAAAUAAAAAUGUUAAAAUAGUAAGCUCCAUGUAAGUAUGAUCAUGGCAUAAAACUCAUAAGUAUAUUCACUGUGGUGGCGUAAAAAUAAAUAUAUAUUCCUGUCCUAUAAAAAUGAAAAUAUAAAUAAGAUUGUGAUCCUACUAAAGAGAGUAACAUUUAUUGAGGAGGCUCAACAUGAUAAAGGCUAGAUAUUUAUGCUAACACUUAACUAGUUCCACAAAGCUUUGUUGUCUAUUUUGAGCUCCAUUGAAUUCAACGAUCAAAGAAGACUAGCAGACGGAGGACAUCCUAAUCGCUAUCAGGGUGCUGCCGACAUUCAAAUACACCUCCACCACCUGCUAGCUACAUCACAAGGAAUUACAUCAAAAUCCAGUUUGGGGGAGAGCACUCCCAUUUAUCUAGCUAAGUGUUUCUACUCGCGUUUAUAUUUUACUCAAAUAAUAAAAAGAUGCAUAAUCAUAAAAACCCAAAUAAAGAUUUUGUGCUUAUAUAUAUUUUGCUUAGUUUGCUAAAUAAAUAAAUAAAUAAAGUUUGCUAUGAACCCUCAUGAUAAGCUCUCAUAUAGAAAUGAUGAAUAGUUGCUCUGCCAUGACUAGUUCUCAAAAUUGAAAUCUCUCUCAAGAUUAGGCAUGACUGUUAUUAAUUAAGAUUUGCUCUAAACCUGAACUUGUGGGAAGAGUACUUGAUCUAAAGUCUAAGUUGUUAACGGAUAUGAUAUGGGAAGGUUGAGCUGCUGUUUAUCUGUUCCUAGAGAUGCUAGAAUUCCAGAGAAUUUGAUCUUUGAAAAUCUUUAAAAUGUUGCAUGAUGAGUUCCUCUAUGAUGAGAGUUUAAAUUCCUACCACAACCAUAUAUACAUGCUUGCUAGACUUUGAGCCACAUAUUUACUUUUUACUACUUAUGAGCAUUGAGUGUGGUCAAGCUAUGUAGACCCUUAGGAGCUUGUCAUGUGGUUAAAAUCAAGAUUCAUGUGCACGUUCACUCACACAUGCUGCUUCUACUCCGGAAGUACGCAUCCACAUAUAUCCACUCAUUUACAUCUCCAGAACCACCCAAAAAUAUUCUACUCCUAAUCCGGGAGAGAAUAGCCAAAAACAUUUCUAUUUUCCCCUGUGAAAUAAAUGCUCAAGUUAUCUUGGUUACUACCACUUGCUACAUUAGUUCAAGAGAUGAGUGCUCUAAAAAAAGAGAGAAAAAAAAGAAAGAAUACGAGGAAAUAAAAAGGGGCAAGUGCCCGGAACCUCGAAAGAAAAGAAAAAGUGAGACGAGAGGUAAAAAUGGACAAGUGUCCGACAGUAGAAUUAGGGGUACAAGAUGCCCACCUGAGAGAAAAGAAAAGAAAAUAUAGAGCAUUUCAUUCUCCCCAAAAGUUUCAAAAGAGCAAGGAAGGUAUUUAUCCCCUCAAAAGAGCACAAAUAGAAUUAGACGUUCACCAUUGUUAUCACCAUCAUCACCAUACACCAUUCAUUCGCCACACAUGCACAUCUUGAUUUGACUUAUUGACUUGUUCUUCUGGAUCCAUGGUUUGACUAUGCAAUAAAUGUCUUGUAAGUAUGUAUUAGCUGUCUCCCACCUAUGAGCUCCAGAUAUCAAAACUUUAUUAGAGUAGGGUGAGAGAGAAGGCAUAUACCAUUACUGCCUUGGUAAGGAUCUAGAAAUACCACAAAAGAGAGAUCUGAGAGAGUCAUACAAGGAAUCUCUGAGUUUUAUUUGAAAAUCUGCAAAAACUCCAGAGCUAUAGUUAAUCGAAGAACAAGAGACAUGGCGCUUGACUAGACCGUUCUAUCUUUUAACUACUCAAGACAGAAGUGACGGUUACAAGUCCCAUGGUGGAAGGUAAAAUGAGUAAAUUUAAAUCUUAAAAGUUUACCCUAACCCAGAGAUGAGAUCUUGUUUGGACGCAUGUGUACCUUUAAGGCAUGAAACCACUGCAGAAACUCUUGAGUUCAUCUUUGCUCAGGGACGAGCAAAGGUUAAGCUUGGGGGAGCUUGUUGACGGUCCUUAAUGCUCACAUUUAACCAUCAACUAAUCAUAGAAAAGGAUCCAAAUGCAACCAACACCUAGACUUAGGGUUUUAUCUGACAGAAUUCCACGAGUUUUGGUGUUUGUCUAUUUCUGCAGGGGGUUAUCAGGAAAAACGGAAGAAAGGCCCACACGUCGGGAUUACAUAGAGAUAUUAACGUGUCGUGCAAUUAUCUUACAUCUGGAAGACUCCAGAAGCCACGGGAAGGAAGCGGAGGCCGAACUGAGCCACGCACUGGGCGCCCGCCCAGUUGACCUAGGCGCCCGCCCUCACAUAGAGUCCAAUCAGGACUCUCUUUCGGGAUAUUGCUCCAUCGACCUAAAGGAUCAAGGAUAACCGUUCAAUCAAUGUCGGUUUGAUCCAACGGCCCAGAUUCACUUGAAGAGACUAUAAAACCAGACCCCAUGGCCCCUGGAGAUCAUACCUCUUCUACAGAAUCAAAGCUAGGGUUUCAAUUCUUCAUCCAAGUAGAGAGGAUCCCUCUAGUUCUUCUAGUUCUACCUCUAGUUCAUCUAGAUCUAGUUCUAGUUCAUCUAGUUCUAGUUCUAGUUCCUCUAGUUCUAGUUCUAGUUAGUUCUAGUUGUAAUCUAGAAAAUAGG